rnacentral:rRNA from 1 species
ACGAACGCUGGCGGCGUGCCUCAUCCAUGCAAGUCGAGCGGACUGAUUAAGAGCUUGCUCUUAUGACGUUAGCGGCGGACGGGUGAGUAACACGUGGGCAACCUGCCCUGUAGAUCGGGAUAACACCGAGAAAUCGGUGCUAAUACCGGGUAAUAUCUGAGAUCACAUGAUCUUAGGUUAAAAGAUGGCUCCGGCUAUCACUACAGGAUGGGCCCGCGGCGCAUUAGCUAGUUGGUAAGGUAAUGGCUUACCAAGGCGACGAUGCGUAGCCGACCUGAGAGGGUGAUCGGCCACACUGGGACUGAGACACGGCCCAGACUCCUACGGGAGGCAGCAGUAGGGAAUCUUCCGCAAUGGACGAAAGUCUGACGGAGCAACGCCGCGUGAGUGAUGAAGGGUUUCGGCGCGUAAAGCUCUGUUGUUAGGGAAGAAACAGUACCGAACGAACUAGGUCGGUACCUUGACGGUACCUAACCAGAAAGCCACGGCUAACUACGUG